rnacentral:rRNA from 1 species
UGACACUGAACAUUGAGCCUUGAUGUGUAGGAUAGGUGGGAGGCUUUGAAGCGUGGACGCCAGUCUGCGUGGAGCCGACCUUGAAAUACCACCCUUUAAUGUUUGAUGUUCUAACGUGGAUCCGUAAUCCGGGUUGCGGACAGUGUCUGGUGGGUAGUUUGACUGGGGCGGUCUCCUCCUAAAGAGUAACGGAGGAGCACGAAGGUUGGCUAAUCCUGGUCGGACAUCAGGAGGUUAGUGCAAUGGCAUAAGCCAGCUUGACUGCGAGCGUGACGGCGCGAGCAGGUGCGAAAGCAGGUCAUAGUGAUCCGGUGGUUCUGAAUGGAAGGGCCAUCGCUCAACGGAUAAAAGGUACUCCGGGGAUAACAGGCUGAUACCGCCCAAGAGUUCAUAUCGACGGCGGUGUUUGGCACCUCGAUGUCGGCUCAUCACAUCCUGGGGCUGAAGUAGGUCCCAAGGGUAUGGCUGUUCGCCAUUUAAAGUGGUACGCGAGCUGGGUUUAGAACGUCGUGAGACAGUUCGGUCCCUAUCUGCCGUGGGCGCUGGAGAACUGAGGGGGGCUGCUCCUAGUACGAGAGGACCGGAGUGGACGCAUCACUGGUGUUCGGGUUGUCAUGCCAAUGGCACUGCCCGGUAGCUAAAUGCGGAAGAGAUAAGUGCUGAAAGCAUCUAAGCACGAAACUUGCCCCGA